rnacentral:rRNA from 1 species
UACGUAGGGGGCAAGCGUUGUCCGGAUUUAUUGGGCGUAAAGAGCGUGUAGGCGGCCAGGCAGGUCCGUUGUGAAAACUAGAGGCUUAACCUCUAGACGUCGAUGGAAACCGUUUGGCUAGAGUCCGGAAGAGGAGAAUGGAAUUCCUGGUGUAGCGGUGAAAUGCGCAGAUAUCAGGAGGAACACCAAUAGCGAAGGCAGCUCGCUGGGACGUUACUGACACUGAGGCGCGAAAGCGUGGGGAGCGAACAGG